AGGAUUGGGAGCCUUGGGCAGUGCAAGGACAAGUAGAAAGCCAAACCUGGACUGGAAAUGCAUGGUCAUCAGUGAGGUGAAGCUAACUGGGCCGGAGCCUAGAGGGACUUUUUGAAGCAGAGACACAAGGCCCUUAAAUAAGGGCCUACAAGCAGGAAGGGAACCAUCAGAGCUGGUUCUGGCCAGGCAGGCAAAGGUAAUACCAAGGUGGUGGUUGUGGGAAUGGAAAUAGCUGGAGAGAUGUAAAAGCCAUUUAGAAGAAAGAUCCAGUGAUACUGGUAGCUACUAGGAAAGGGGGUCUUAAGGAGGAAUAAAAAAAAAAAAAUGAUUCUAAGACUCCUAACUUGGGAGCCAAAGAAGAUAGUGGUGAGGAGGAAGAAGAAAUUUUUGAGUAUAUGAAAUAUGAGGUUCCAUAAGGAUGCCCAGUGGGCACUGGAAGGACUGACGUUUAGAGAGGUGUAGGCUGAAAGUAAUACUAGGGUAUCAUCUUGCACAAAGAUGAGAGAUGAAGAUAGAGAAAAGGAAGAGGGAGGGAGAGAAGGAGAGUAAAGAGUAAAUCUUAGGGCGAAUUUAAAUUUAGGAUGUCCAUGAAAGUAUCACAAAUGGUCUGAUAUGGAGGAAGAGAAACAUUUAGCUCCAUGCUGGUUAAGGGGCAAGGGGCAAGGCCAUAGUGUUGUCACAACCUUCAAAGACCACAGCAAAUGAGGACCAAGAAACAGAAGCAGAGCCAAAGUAGUAUUUUCUAGAAAGAGGAUCUCCACAUUCAUUCAUUCAACAAGUAUUUAUUGAGAACCUAGCUUUUAUCCAGGCCCUGAACAAACGGAGGUGGGCCAAACAGAGACCCUAUGCUGAUGGAACUUACAUCCUGCUGGAGAAGACAGACAUUACACAAAGACUGAUCGUGGUCAAUGUUACCAAGAGAAACAAAGCAGGAUCCCUGUGGAAUAGCUGUUGAUUUUAGAGGAGGGUGAGUUUGUCAAUGUUGAAAGAAGACCCACUUGGGAAGAAAACUUGAUUUUGUGUUUCCAGUGUAUGACAGGAAAAUGGUGACCUCUCCAGACCUCAAGGAUAUAUGUAAAACAGAGAGCUUUUUACCUCA